GAGUUUGAUCCUGGCUCAGGACGAACGCUGGCGGCGCGCCUAACACAUGCAAGUCGAACGAGAGAGAGGGAGCUUGCUUCCUUAAUCGAGUGGCGAACGGGUGAGUAACGCGUGAGGAACCUGCCUCAAAGAGGGGGACAACAGUUGGAAACGACUGCUAAUACCGCAUAAGCCCACGACCCGGCAUCGGGAAGAGGGAAAAGGAGCAAUCCGCUUUGAGAUGGCCUCGCGUCCGAUUAGCUAGUUGGUGAGGUAACGGCCCACCAAGGCGACGAUCGGUAGCCGGACUGAGAGGUUGAACGGCCACAUUGGGACUGAGACACGGCCCAGACUCCUACGGGAGGCAGCAGUGGGGAAUAUUGCACAAUGGGGGAAACCCUGAUGCAGCGACGCCGCGUGGAGGAAGAAGGUCUUCGGAUUGUAAACUCCUGUUGUUGAGGAAGAUAAUGACGGUACUCAACAAGGAAGUGACGGCUAACUACGUGCCAGCCGCCGCGGUAAUUC
rnacentral:rRNA from 1 species